rnacentral:rRNA from 1 species
ACUACGGGAGGCAGCAGUGGGGAAUAUUGGGCAAUGGGCGCAAGCCUGACCCAGCAACGCCGCGUGAAGGAAGAAGGCUUUCGGGUUGUAAACUUCUUUUCUCAGGGACGAAGCAAGUGACGGUACCUGAGGAAUAAGCCACGGCUAACUACGUGCCAGCAGCCGCGGUAAUACGUAGGUGGCAAGCGUUAUCCGGAUUUACUGGGUGUAAAGGGCGUGUAGGCGGGGACGCAAGUCAGAUGUGAAAACCACGGGCUCAACCUGUGGCCUGCAUUUGAAACUGUGUUUCUUGAGUACUGGAGAGGCAGACGGAAUUCCUAGUGUAGCGGUGAAAUGCGUAGAUAUUAGGAGGAACACCAGUGGCGAAGGCGGUCUGCUGGACAGCAACUGACGCUGAGGCGCGAAAGCGUGGGGAGCAAACAGGAUUAGAUACCCUAGUAGUC